rnacentral:rRNA from 1 species
UGAGGAAUAUUGGUCAAUGGGCGAGAGCCUGAACCAGCCAAGUAGCGUGCAGGAUGACGGCCCUACGGGUUGUAAACUGCUUUUAUGUGGGGAUAAAGUGCGUGACGUGUCAUGCAUUGCAGGUACCACAUGAAUAAGGACCGGCUAAUUCCGUGCCAGCAGCCGCGGUAAUACGGAAGGUCCGGGCGUUAUCCGGAUUUAUUGGGUUUAAAGGGAGCGUAGGCUGUCUAUUAAGCGUGUUGUGAAAUUUACCGGCUCAACCGGUGGCUUGCAGCGCGAACUGGUCGACUUGAGUAUGCAGGAAGUAGGCGGAAUUCAUGGUGUAGCGGUGAAAUGCUUAGAUAUCAUGACGAACUCCGAUUGCGCAGGCAGCUUACUGUAGCAUAACUGACGCUGAUGCUCGAAAGUGCGGGUAUCAAACAGG